rnacentral:rRNA from 1 species
UACGUAGGGUGCAAGCGUUGUCCGGAAUUAUUGGGCGUAAAGAGCUCGUAGGCGGUUUGUCGCGUCUGCUGUGAAAACCCGAGGCUCAACCUCGGGCCUGCAGUGGGUACAGGCAGACUAGAGUGCGGUAGGGGAGAUUGGAAUUCCUGGUGUAGCGGUGGAAUGCGCAGAUAUCAGGAGGAACACCGAUGGCGAAGGCAGAUCUCUGGGCCGUAACUGACGCUGAGGAGCGAAAGCAUGGGGAGCGAACAGG